rnacentral:rRNA from 1 species
UACGGGAGGCAGCAGUGGGGAAUAUUGCACAAUGGGCGAAAGCCUGAUGCAGCUAUGCCGCGUGUAUGAAGAAGGCCUUAGGGUUGUAAAGUACUUUCAUCGGGGAGGAAAAACAAAACUAAUAAUUUUAUUUCUUGACGUUACCCGAAAAAGAAGCACCGGCUAACUCCGUGCCAGCAGCCGCGGUAAUACGGAGGGUGCUAGCGUUAAUCAGAAUUACUGGGCGUAAAGAGCACGUAGGUGGUUUUUUAAGUCAGAUGUGAAAUCCCUGGGCUUAACCUAGGAACUGCAUUUUGAAACUGAAAUACUAGAGUAUCGUAGAGGGAGGUAGAAUUCUAGGUGUAGCGGUGAAAUGCGUAGAUAUCUGGAGGAAUACCUGUGGCGAAAGCGGCCUCCUAAACGAAUACUGACACUGAGGUGCGAAAGCGUGGGGAGCAAACAGGGAUUAGAUACCCGU